rnacentral:rRNA from 1 species
UUUUUUAAAACAUGUCUUUUUGAUUAUAAUUUAAAGUCUGACCUGCCCAAUGAAAAUUUGAAUGGCCGCGGUACUUUGACCGUGCAAAGGUAGCAUAAUCAUUAGUUUUUUAAUUGAAAGCUGGAAUGAAAGGUUGGACGAGAAAAUAGCUGUCUCAAUUUAAUUUUAUUAGAAUUUUAUUUAUAAGUUAAAAAGCUUAUAUAUAUUUAAAAGACGAGAAGACCCUAUAGAAUUUUAUAUUUUGAUUAUUAUUUUUUUUUUAGAAUUUGAAUAAAAUUUUUAAUUAAAAUAUUUUAUUGGGGUGAUAAAAAAAUUUAAGUAACUUUUUUUGACUUAAACCAUUAAUUUAUGAUAGGCUGAUCCGUUUUUACGAUUAUAAGAUUAAAUUACCUUAGGGAUAACAGCGUAAUUUUUUUUUAGAGUUCUUAUCGAAAGAAAAGUUUGCGACCUCGAUGUUGGAUUAAAAUUAACUUUUGGUGUAGGGGCUAAAGGGUUAGGUCUGUYCGACCUUUAAAAUUUUACAUGAUCUGAGCAAAA